GAUGAAGAACGUAGCGAAAUGCGAUAAGUAAUGUGAAUUGCAGAAUUCAGUGAAUCAUCGAAUCUUUGAACGCACCUUGCGCCCUUUGGCCAUUCCGAAGGGCAUGCCUGUUUGAGUAUCAUGAACACCUCAACUCUUUAUGGUUUUCCAUGAUGAGCUUGGACUCUGGGGGUUUUGCUGGCUCACAGUCGGCUCCUCUAAAAUGAAUCAGCUUACCAGUGUUUGGUGGGUAUCAUGGGUGUGAUAACUAUCUACGCUUGUGGUUUUUCCACCAGGUAACCUUCAGCAGUGGAGGUUCGCUGGAGCUCAUAGAUGUCUCUCCUCAGUGAGGACAGCCCUUCGAAUGUUUGAUCUCAAAUCAGGUAGGACUACCCGCUGAACUUAAGCAUAUCAAUAAGCGGAGGA
rnacentral:misc_RNA from 1 species